CUACGGAGGGUGCAAGCGUUAUUCGGAAUCACUGGGCGUAAAGGACGCGUAGGCGGGUUGGCAAGUCAGAUGUGAAAUCCUACAGCUUAACUGUAGAACUGCAUUUGAAACUGCUAACCUAGAGUAUGGGAGGGUGAGAUGGAAUUAGUGGUGUAGGGGUAAAAUCCGUAGAUAUCACUAGGAAUACCGAAAGCGAAGGCGAUCUCCUGGAACAUAACUGACGCUAAGGCGUGAAAGCGUGGGGAGCAAACAGGAUUAGAUACCCUAGUAGUCC
rnacentral:rRNA from 1 species